rnacentral:rRNA from 1 species
AGAGCGAACGCUGGCGGCAGGCCUAAUACAUGCAAGUCGAACGGACCCUUCGGGGUUAGUGGCGGACGGGUGAGUAACACGUGGGAACGUGCCCUUUGGUUCGGAACAACUCAGGGAAACUUGAGCUAAUACCGAAUGUGCCCCCUCCUUUGAUUAGGGGGGUGGGAAAGAUUUAUCGCCAUUGGAGCGGCCCGCGUCUGAUUAGCUAGUUGGUGGGGUAAAGGCCCACCAAGGCUACGAUCAGUAGCUGGUCUGAGAGGAUGAUCAGCCACACUGGGACUGAGACACGGCCCAGACUCCUACGGGAGGCAGCAGUAGGGAAUCUUGCGCAAUGGGCGAAAGCCUGACGCAGCCAUGCCGCGUGAAUGAUGAAGGUCUUAGGAUUGUAAAAUUCUUUCAGCGGGACGAUAAUGACGGUACCUGCAGAAGAAGCCCCGGCUAACUUCGUGCCAGCAGCCGC